UUGAGGUUGUGUGUUUUUUGAACUUGAGUUUGUGGUGUUUUUGAACUUCAGUUUGUGGCCCUUUUUUUAACUUGAGUUUGUUGAACUUUAGUUUUUGGCAAUUGUUAAAUGUGAGUUUAGGUCAUUUGUUGAACUUGAAAUUUUGGAAUUUGUUGAACUUAAGAUUGUGGUGUUUGUUGAACUUGAGUUUUUGGCAAUUGUUGAACUUGAGUCUGUAUUUUUCUCUAAACUUUAGUUGGUGGCAAUUGUUGAAGUUGAGUUUGUGGUGUUUUUGCACCUGAGUUUGUGUCGUGUCUGAACUUGAGUUUGUGUUGUAUUUGAAC